UACGUAGGGUGCAAGCGUUGUCCGGAAUUAUUGGGCGUAAAGAGCUCGUAGGCGGUCUGUCGCGUCGGCUGUGAAAUCCCGGAGCUCAACUCCGGGUCUGCAGUCGAUACGGGCAAACUGGAGUACUGCAGGGGAGACUGGAAUUCCUGGUGUAGCGGUGAAAUGCGCAGAUAUCAGGAGGAACACCAAAGGCGAAGGCAGUGUCCUGGGGAGUACCUGACGCUCAGGUGCGAAAGCCAGGGGAGCGAACGGG
rnacentral:rRNA from 1 species